AAGAGCGUAGGGUGGAUGCCUAGGCACUGACAGCCGAAGAAAGACGUGACAAGCUGCGAAAAGCUGCGGGGAGAAGCACAUAUUCAGUGAUCCGCAGAUGUCUGAAUGGGGAAACCCGCUUGGAAGUACUCCAAGCAUCCAUACGCCAAUACAU
rnacentral:sRNA from 1 species